rnacentral:rRNA from 1 species
UGGGGAAUAUUGCACAAUGGGCGCAAGCCUGAUGCAGCCAUGCCGCGUGUAUGAAGAAGGCAUUCGGGUUGUAAAGUACUUUCAGCGGGGAGGAAGGGAGUAAAGUUAAUACCUUUGCUCAUUGACGUUACCCGCAGAAGAAGCACCGGCUAACUCCGUGCCAGCAGCCGCGGUAAUACGGUGGGUGCAAGCGUUAAUCGGAAUUACUGGGCGUAAAGCGCACGCAGGCGGUUUGUUAAGUCAGAUGUGAAAUCCCCGGGCUCAACCUGGGAACUGCAUCUGAUACUGGCAAGCUUGAGUAUCGUAGAAGGGGGUAGAAUUCCAGGUGUAGCGGUGAAAUGCGUAGAGAUCUGGAGGAAUACCGGUGGCGAAGGCGGCCCCCUGGACGAAGACUGACGCUCAGGUGCGAAAGCGUGGGGAGCAAACAGG